rnacentral:rRNA from 2 species
AGAGUACGUGAAACCGUUCAGGGGUAAACCUGAGAAACCCGAAAGGUCGAAAGGGGAGAUUCAGCGUGUCUCGAUUGCGGCGCUGGACGGUCGUGCGACGGAAGACGUACGCGUCAUCCGCACCUUCCGUUCUCCGAACCGUAGUCGAACGCGUGCACUUCUCCCCCUGUAGGACGUCGCGAUCCGUUGGGUGUCGGCCUAAGGCCCGCGAUGGAGCCCGUUCGGACGGUUUUCCGUUCCGGACGAACUCGCGGUGUUUCCCGGUCGGCUCGCUCGACGGUAUACAGAUGGCGCGGGGCCGCUACACAUCAGUUAGCGUCCGACCGGCGGCAAGCGCGCUCGUCGUGACGGUGAUCGGACCUGGUGCCGGUCCUGUCCCCGAGUGGCUGUUCGCUGCCGUGUUCUCGGACAGACCUCGUCGAAACGCCGAUCUGCGACGCUAUAGCUUUGGGUACUUUCAGGACCCGUCUUG